rnacentral:rRNA from 1 species
UGGGGAAUAUUGCACAAUGGGCGGAAGCCUGAUGCAGCGACGCCGCGUGGGGGAUGAAGGCCUUCGGGUUGUAAACUCCUUUCGACAGGGACGAAGCUUUUGUGACGGUACCUGUAUAAGAAGCACCGGCUAACUACGUGCCAGCAGCCGCGGUAAUACGUAGGGUGCGAGCGUUGUCCGGAAUUACUGGGCGUAAAGAGCUCGUAGGUGGUUUGUCGCGUCGUCUGUGAAAUUCCGGGGCUUAACUCCGGGCGUGCAGGCGAUACGGGCUGACUUGCGUGCUGUAGGGGAGACUGGAAUUCCUGGUGUAGCGGUGAAAUGCGCAGAUAUCAGGAGGAACCCCGAUGGCGAAGGCAGGUCUCUGGGCAGUAACUGACGCUGAGGAGCGAAAGCAUGGGUAGCGAACAGG